UACGUAGGGUGCUAGCGUUGUCCGGAUUUACUGGGCGUAAAGAGCUUGUAGGUGGUUUGUCGCGUUGUUCGUGAAAUCUCACGGCUUAACUGUGAGCGUGCGGGCGAUACGGGCAGACUAGAGUACUGCAGGGGAGACUGGAAUUCCUGGUGUAGCGGUGGAAUGCGCAGAUAUCAGGAGGAACACCGGUGGCGAAGGCGGGUCUCUGGGCAGUAACUGACGCUGAGAAGCGAAAGCGUGGGGAGCGAACAGG
rnacentral:rRNA from 1 species